rnacentral:tRNA from 15 species
GCCCCCAUAGCUCAUUGGUAGAGCACUUCCUUGGUAAGGAAGAGGUAGUGAGUUCAAUCCUCACUGGGGGCUCGA